AUUGAACGCUGGCGGCAGGCCUAACACAUGCAAGUCGAGCGGAUGAAGGGUGCUUGCUUCUGGAUUCAGCGGCGGACGGGUGAGUAAUGCCUAGGAAUCUGCCUGGUAGUGGGGGAUAACGUCCGGAAACGGGCGCUACUACCGCAUACGUCCUGCGGGAGAAAGUGGGGGAUCUUCGGACCUCACGCUAUCAGAUGAGCCUAGGUCGGGGUAGCUAGUUGGUGGGGUAAAGGCCUACUGAGGCGACGAUCCGUAACUGGGCUGAGAGGAUGAUCAGGCACGAGAGAACGGAGAGACGGACCGGACUCGAGCUGGGGGCAGCAGUGGUGAGGGAGGGACAAGGGGGGAAAACCUGAUCCUGCCAGGCCGCGUGUGGGAAGAAGGUCGUCUGAGGGUAAAGCACUUUAAGUUGGUAGGAAGGGCAGUAAGGUGAUGCCGCGCUGGUGUGACGUUACCAACAGAAAAAGCACCGUAAAACCGCG
rnacentral:rRNA from 1 species